CGCAGCAGGCGGUGAAACCACUGAGCUAAAUCCCCAGCUAAGGCCUAGAAAGAAAGAAGCAGCCCUUGCUGGAUGAUAAACCAAACACCUUUGAACAGGCUAGCAUCUGCCGACUUCCCAGUUGUGUUCUCUGUGACCGAGAGAACAUUCCAGCUUGUGUGAAAAUUCCAGCCCCUUGAUGUCUCAUAGCAGUUCAGAAACUCCAUGGUGGAAUGAAUUCUAAUUAGUUAAUGCUAUGCAAAUGCAAUAGCAUGUGGCAUUUACAAAAUCCCAAACAUUUAAGAGGAAGAAACUGAAGCCCAGAGGAAUGAAGGGCCAAGGGGAUCUCUCUCAUCUUCGUCAUGAUGUCAACAGCCCCCUGGCUAUUGUUAUCUGACUCUCCCGGCCUCCAGCUGCUCAGUCUUGCUACUCAGCAGCAGGACUGGGCUUUUACCUGAGUAGGGGGCGGGCAGCUGAUUGACAGCAGCAAUGGAGCCUUUGCGUCUGCUGAGUUGGGCAUUUUCCUCCCUGGACCUAGUGCCUUUUGUCUUCUCCUGCUUCAGAAUCUUGAGGACCUCACAGACUCCUACUCCAUGCCAUGUCUCAUUGAGAAUCCUCACUACCAACUAGGGGCCCCAUUCCUAUCCCUCUUGUUUUUUAUCUCACUCCCUCAAACCUCUGUUCUGGUCACAGGCCCAGCUUUGGGUGUUGUUCUUUUCUGGCUUUCACGCUUGACCUUGUUUGAGGACCCCAUCUCUACAGGAGCUCCCAUCCUACCUUUGGGGCCAAGACCUUCUAAUGUGGAAAAAAACCUCUUUUGCUAAAAGUGGGAAUUCCACAGAAGUCCAACACAUUUUUGAAAAUGUGUUGAGUGACUCUAAGAAUAUAUUUUGUCCCAUAUGUUACUGAUAAAGUAAAAGGAUUAAUACAGGUAGAACCAGGAACAUUUUCCUGUUUCCUCCCAACCGCACCUCAGUGAACCAUGCUCCCCCACCCCUUCUGUUGCUUCCUGGAUCCCAGGGUCCAGAGAGUCCCCAAAUCUUGGGGCAGACUCACUUAAGUGGCCUGGCCCAAGGAAAAGGCCUUUCCACCUGUACAGCAGAUGUUCCUUAGGAUUUGUCACCUGUCAUUCCCAUACUGGGGAAAAAUGCAAUGACACCUGGCCAGUGAAUGCUAAAACCAGACCAAGAUUCCUUAUUCCUGGAAAGAGGCACAUGAGAGCAGAACUAGCUGAGCAAUACUGGGCAAACUAUUUUUCCUUUCUGAGCCUCAGUUUGCUCAUCUGUAAAAUGGGGCCAUCAGUAGACUGCAACUCGUUGGGUUGUGGGAGUAUGAAAUGAGAGAUUACCAGGGAGUACUUAAGACAUGCCCAAAGCACAGAGUUAACUUUUAUGAUUGUGAUCAAUAGUAAUGGGAUUGGGCUGGGGAUUUAGCUCAAUGGUUUCAAGGCCUGCUACGUAAGUGCAAGGACCUGAUCUCGAUCCCCGGUACCAAAAAAAAAGAAAAGAAAUAGUAAUGGUAUAGUUUAUUAGCAGACAACACAAUGCCUCUCUCCCACUACAUCCCCAGACAAGGGGGAGCAGCAAGCCUAAUUUCAAGUCUGACUCUUAUGUAUGUCUUCAUUUGCUUUGAGCUGGAGAACAGUAGUCAUAUUAGUUGCAAUCCUGAGUGCCUAACUCAGUUCUAGUUACACGGGUGAAGUGUUUUUCAGAAUUUGUAUCUUUUAAUCCUCCCAACAACCCCAUUAGGUAGGCACUCUCUGGAUGAGGAAACUGACUCCAAGAGGUUAAGCAACUUACCUACAGUGACACAGCUGAACUGGGGUUUAAACAGUUUUAAAAAUAUUUUUUAUCUCCCCCUCAGUAAAUCAUAUAUUCUGUCCACUGUGACAGGAGCUGGAGCAGACUCAGGUUUCUGAGCUCUGUUAUGCACUUCUCUAGAAACCCAAAAGAAACCCAAAGGCUAGGAUGGCAAAGAGGUUGCAGAUUGGACAUUUCCCAACAGCCCCCUUCUUGAUGUUCUUUAGUUGAUUUCCUUUCCUCUGAGCCCUCUGCAUGCAAACGUGUGCAUAAAGGGAGUGAAUGAAGAGCUGGGUUCCAAUCCUGCUUCUGCUGAUAGCCAGGGUAAGGGUAGAUGGGCCUUAGGGGCUUGUUUUGGAAAAUAGGGAAAUUGUUCUGC